rnacentral:rRNA from 1 species
UGGGGAAUUUUGCGCAAUGGGCGAAAGCCUGACGCAGCAACGCCGCGUGGAGGAUGAAGGCCUUCGGGUCGUAAACUCCUGUCAGGGGGGACGAAAGUUGGGAAACCAAUCUGACUGUACCCCCUGAGGAAGCCACGGCUAACUCCGUGCCAGCAGCCGCGGUAAUACGGAGGUGGCAAGCGUUGUUCGGAAUUACUGGGCGUAAAGGGCUCGUAGGUGGCCACCUAAGUCCGACGUGAAAUCCCUCGGCUCAACCGGGGAACUGCGUCGGAUACUGGGUGGCUUGAAUCCGGGAGAGGGACGUGGAAUUCCAGGUGUAGCGGCGAAAUGCGUAGAUAUCUGGAGGAACACCGGUGGCGAAGGCGGCGUCCUGGACCGGUAUUGACACUGAGGAGCGAAAGCCAGGGGAGCAAACGGGAUUAGAUACCCCGGUAGUCCUGGCCCUAAACGAUGAGUGCUUGGUGUGGCGGGUAUCGAUCCCCGCCGUGCCGGAGCUAACGCGUUAAGCACUCCGCCUGGGGAGUACGGUCGCAAGGCUG